CACCGGCAGUAACCGGAACUCAGGAUUAUUAUCCAUUGUAAAUCUAAUCUAGAGUUAGGUGGGACAUUGACUAAACAUUGAACUUUUAGAGUAACACAGACCGCAUGUUGUCUUUCUUCCGUUUACCCUGCUGUAGACACUGAGGGCUCCAGUGAUGUCAGUGACGGCGAUGUGAAUCUGAGCAGGCGGCGGUCACGGCGCAGUCAGAAAGCCCAGAUUAACUACUGCGAGACGUCCGAGUCCGAGGGGUCACAGAAAACCUCAGAACGGAAGACUAACCAAGCGCCACGUCGUCGCCGAAUCUCCAGCUCUAACACGUCUGUUGUUUCGAAGGACUCUGAGCCCGAGGAGGAGUCUGACUCGAGGGGCAGACACCGAGGCAGAAAGAGGCAGUCGACGAGGGAAGACUCGAAACAGAGGCACAAACGGCUCAAACUGAAACCAGCAAGAAGUACGAGCGAGGAAGAGGAGGAAUCGGACGAGGAAGGAGACGCCGGUGUGUCCGACGCGGAAAGGAGACCAGUCCGUAAAAACCUGAACCGUAUCGAAUCGGAUGAGGAAGAAGAGGACGGGGCGGAGAAAAGACCAAUGAGAAAGAUGGCCGGAAAGCAGGCCAGCAGAGUUACAGACUGCAGGGAGAUGAGUGUGAAGGCACACACUAGAGGCUCGAAGGACUCGAUGCUGAAGCACAACGGCCUGCUCCCUCCAAGAUCUUCAGCUCAGGAUGAAGAUGAUGACGAUGAGGAGGAGGAAGAGGAGGAUGAGGAGGAUGACCUCACCGCCACUACAGACUUUGUUAACUUUGUUUUUGACAGCGAACAGUUAUCGUGAUGUGCUGAAGAAAUUUCAUAUAUUAUUUUCUCAUUGCCUUUUUUUUUUUUUUUUAAGGUUUGUUUGUUUGUUUGUUUGUUUGUUUUUUUGAGUGUACUGGACCAAUCCAAGCUUCCAGAGGAAUUUUCACACGAUGUCUAAACAUACUUUAGUUACAUACAUCAUGCACAUGUCAGAUGUAGAGCAGGGUCUCGGUGCACAUCCUGAUUUUUUUAUGAGUGAAAGGUGCGAAAUUUGAAAGUUAGAUUUGAUCAGCUAGUCGCAAACUUGAUCAUAUGACUAGUUUCUCUAAGGUUAGCUGCCCUUUUAGUGGACUUGGCUCAUGGUUUUAAUUCCACAGUGUAUUCCACAAUUUUAAUUCCACAAGAGACUGGAAUGAAUGGGAAUCAUGGGCGAUUGUUUCCAGAGCUGAAAACAUAUGUAAAAAUGCAUAUUCUAAACUUAUAUCGACUGAAGACACUACGGUUCUAUUUCACAUUUUAUAUUUCCCUUUUAAAAGAAGCUUCAAAAAUCAGAAUGAAAACUGUAUAUAGUCUUGAUCUGGUCUGGAUUUUUUUCUUGAGGAAAGGGCAAGUACUCUGUCGUGGUCUUUCAUGCCAAGUCAGUCCUCUAGUGAUGGUAAUUAUGGCUGGGGUUUUUUAGCGAGAUGGGUCUUUUAGUUCAGCUCACCAAUAAGGGUCAAAUCUUUUGGUUCCCAAACAGCUGAUUGUCGUCUUUUUCUUUUCUUUUUUUUUUUAAACUCAAAGUUUGGUAUUUCGACCAGUGUUUGCUCUAUUAAUGAGUAAAAUUGUUUGGUAAAAUUGUUCCUAUUAGCAAAAUAACAUUUCUCUCGCACUGCACUACGUUAUUCAAAAUGAAUUUCAAUAAUUGUAACUGAUCUCUGAACUCUAAACAUACACAUACAGUCCCCCUCAAACCCAUUUGGGUUUGAGAUCGAAAUAUGGAGACGAGAGUUUAGGAUUUCAGCUUUUAUUUCCUGGUAUUUACAUCUAGAUGUAUUAAACGACAUAAAGCAUAGAACCUUUGUAUCAGACAACCCAAUUUUUAGGUGAGCAAAAGUAUAGGAACAGAUAAGAUUAAGAUACAUUUCUGCUCUGAAGCCUUCUUCGUACUGUGAAUUGUGAUACCUUCACCCCUGCUCUAUGGAGGUUGUUGGUUGUUUUAGGGGUUUUCUUCACAGCUCUCACAAUGUUUGUGUCAU
ensembl:lncRNA